UACGUAGGGUGCGAGCGUUAAUCGGAAUUACUGGGCGUAAAGCGUGCGCAGGCGGUUUUGUAAGCCAGAUGUGAAAGCCCCGGGCUUAACCUGGGAAUGGCAUUUGGGACUGCAAGGCUUGAGUGCGGCAGAGGAGACUGGAAUUCCCGGUGUAGCAGUGAAAUUCGUAGAUAUUGGGAAGAACACCGGUGGCGAAGGCGGCUCACUGGCUCAUAUCUGACGCUCAGGCGCGACAGCGUGGGGAUCAAACAGG
rnacentral:rRNA from 1 species